UUAUUUAUAGUCUCUCGCCCUCUCCCUUCCUUUCAUAGUGGACUCCUGCUGACUUACUGCUCAACUUUCUUGGUCGUUGUCUCUGUUCAUUUUUCCUCUGCUUAUCGCCGCUUCAGGUUUUUAUAAACUCUGCUCAUCCUUACAGAGGCAUUUUCUAUGGGUCCUGAGACAUUAAAGAACAAGUGAAGAAAGCCGGUGAAACCAACUUUCAUAACUAAUAACAUCUGUGGAGGAGUUUGAGAGCUUACUGAGAAGCGUGAAGGAUCAUCAACCUGUAAUUUGUUAUGGUGGUUCUAUCUGAUCUUCCAGAAGGUUCUUCAUCAACUGAUGAUUAUAGUUCAUCAGCCCAUGUUCCUACUUCAUCAACUCAUGGUCAUAACUCAUCAGCUCAUAAUCAUAGAUAUGAUGUAUUUUUAAGUUUUAGAGGUGUUGACACUCGUCAUAGUUUCACUGAUCACCUUCAUAAGGCCCUCAUUUAUGCCAAUAUCAAUACCUUCUUGGAUGAUGAAGAGAUUGAAACCGGGGAAGAUCUGAAACCGGAAUUGGAGAGUGCGAUUAAGGCAUCUCGGGCUUCUAUUAUCAUCCUGUCCAAGAAUUAUGCUUCUUCAACAUGGUGUCUGGAUGAAUUGGUGUUGAUCCUUGAGCAGCGUAUGACAUCCAACCAUAUUGUUAUCCCCAUAUUUUAUCAUGUGGAGCCCACACAUGUUAGGAAGCAACAAAGUAGCUUUGGAGAUGCAAUGGCUAAGCAUAAAAAGACAAUGGAGGAAGAGACAAAUGCAAAUAAAAGAAGUCAAUGGGCUCAAAAGAUGGACCAAUGGAAUAAAGCGCUUAUUGAAGUUGCUAAUUUAAAAGGAAAGGAUGUAAAUGGAAGGCUAGAGACGGAAUUUAUUGAAGAAAUUGUGAAGGACAUCCACCGUAGGUUACAUGUACCCUCAAGGAGUGUUCGACAACAACUUAUUGGGAUGGACUAUGAGAUUAAGUUCAUAACUUCAUGGUUGAAAGAUGGAUCCUCACAUACGGCAGACAUACUCACUAUUUAUGGUAUAGGAGGGAUUGGGAAGACAACUUUAGCCAAACAUGUCUAUGGGCUAUAUGCUCACAAAUUCCACAAAAGCAGCUGUAUUGAAGAUGUUAGUAGGGUAUGUGAUGGAAAGUUUAAUGGGUUGCUUGAUUUACAAGAAAAACUAAGCAGUGACAUUUCAAAAACAAGUUCCGUUAAAGUUCAUGAUGCUUCGGUAUACACCUCAAAGAUAGAGAAUGCAGUAGCACGUAAAAGGGUGUUUCUUGUUCUUGAUGAUAUUAGUACGCUUGAUCAGUUGGAUACGCUACUUGGAAGCAAAGGUUUUCAUCCCGGAAGCAAAAUAAUUAUAACCACAAAGGAAAGGCGUUUGAUAGAGAGGUGUGCACUAUUCAAAACAGACAUUAAACCAAAGCAUACAGAGCUCUUGCUUCAAGGCUUACAUGAGACCGAAUCAUGGAAACUUUUGUGUCUCCAUGCAUUCAAAUGCAAAUAUCCCAAGACAGGUUAUGAAGGGGUGUUUUAUAAGCUUGUGAAGUAUUGUCAAGGACAUCCAUUGGCUCUUGUAGUAUUGGGAAAAUCUCUAUAUGAUCGAGAUGUAACUUAUUGGGAAGGCUGCAUAGAAGGGCUAAAGAAAGAAACAGAUUCUCAUGUGAAUAAUGUCUUGAGAAUGAGCUUUAACUCUUUGCAAUCCAAAAAUGAUAAGGACUUGUUUAAGUAUAUUGCUUGUUUUUUUGUUGGAAUAGAUAGAGAUGUUGCUGAAACAAUAUUACAUGCAUGCAAUAUAAACAUAAGAUCUGGAAUCCCGAAUCUCCUCGACCGAUUCCUUCUUUCUAUUGGAUGGAAAAACGAAUUGAAGAUGCAUCAGUUGGUACAAGAGAUGGGAAGAUUUGAAGUACGUCAGGAAUCACUUGACAAGCCAUGGAAGCGAAGUCUAUUAUGGUGUCAUGAGGAGUCAUUCAGAGUAUUAAAACAAAAAAAGGGUAAGGGAAAUCUUGUUGGCCUUGCCCUUGACAUGCGCAUGCUUGAGAAAGAGAUGUUGGGUGCAUCAUAUAAGCUAAAAACAGAUGCAUUAAGUAAGAUGGAUAAUUUGAUGCUACUACAACUCAAUUAUGUUCACAUGAAUGGGUCUUAUGAGAACUUUCCACCGGAACUAAGAGGUUUGUGUAUGCAUGGAUUCCAUUUAAAGUCUAUACCUUCAGAAUUACCUAUGGAGAAUCUUGUUGCUCUUGACAUGUCAUAUAGCAAUAUUGAAUCAUUUAUCGGUUGUUAUAGUAAUCCACAACGACUUGAGAAGAGGAAAAAGUUGGAUGGAUUAUGCUUAAAAAACAAAAGGUUGCUUGGAUCAUUGAAGGUUCUUAAUUUAAGUUUCUGUAAACAACUUUGUAGUCUUGGUGACUUUGACCAAUUCCCAGCUUUGGAGAGGUUAAUAGUCAGAAAUUGCACUGGUUUGCUUGAGGUUAGUGAAUCAAUUGAGCAGUGUGUUGAACUUGCCCUCAUCGAUCUAAGCUACUGCAAGCAGCUUAAAAACCUUCCAAGAAUCAUAGGCAUGCUAAAGAAGGUUAAAACAAUGUUGCUAAAUGGUUGUAAUCUCGGUGAAUCUCAAACUGAUAAUACAAAUUUAAAUAUGGAUUCACUGGACAUGUGCAAUGCUAACAAAAACAUUAGCAUACGCACAAGAACCUCUUCCUCCGCCUUUGUGGGUGCAAUACCAAGCCGUUUGAAGUUGUUUUCAGUUUCUUUACCGAGGUCUUUAGUAAGGUUGUCCCUUGUAAAUAAUAAUUUGUCCACUGAAUCCUUUCCUAUGGAUUUCAGUAGUCUGUCCAUGUUAAAGGAAUUAUAUUUAGAUAGCAAUCCUAUCCAUUCCAUGCCCAAUUGUGUGAGAACCCUUCCUAAGCUUGAAAAACUUGGUAUACGAGACUGUAAUAAAUUGAAGUCAGUCGAACAUCCUCCACACACACUAAAAACAAUGAUGCUCUAUUCUUAUCCCGAUUCUUUAGAAAAAGUUGUAUUUGAUCCCAAAAUGUCUCCCCUCCAGUUAUUUCAUAGUUUAAAACAUUACACACCUGGGUCGUAUGAAAUUGAAGGCAUGGUGAAAAUCCAACCAAUGGUGGGUGUUGAGGAAAAGGUAUUACGUAGCUUGGGCUGGAUUAAUUUACUCCAUAACAAAAGGAAUGGGGGAAAUAAUCCUAGGGAAUCUCGAAUGCAGAUGUUAUAUGAAUUUGGAAUAUUCAGCACAAUAUAUGAGACAGAGGAGAUGCCGAGUUGGUUUAUGCAUAGAAGCCCAGGGCCAUCGAUAUCAUUUACGAUCCCAUCAUCAUCUCCAAACAACCUCCUUACAGGACUCAACUUCUGCUUUCUGCAGACAAGGAGAGUUUUGUAUGAGAGGCCUUCAAUUCUACUUCAUCAUUUCCCUGGUUCACCGAUGAUCACAGUUAGUAAUAUAACAAAGAACAGUAUGUGGAUAUACGAACAUUACAGGAUGCCAUUUGGUGUAGGGCGAGUGUGUAGGGUGGUGUUAAGUCAUUGGAUGUUUGGGAUGAAUGAGAUGGAGGUUGGUGACCAUGUUACUAUUACUGUUACGCUGCCAUAUGAUGAACAUGUAAAGGAGUGUGGGGUGAGUCUUGUGUAUGAGGAUGAUGGAGAGAAGAAGGAUGAAGAAGAAGAUGUGUUGGGUUAUUACAAGUCAUGGAAUCAUAUAAUUGGUGGAGAUCUCUCUCCUUUUCAAACAACAACAGGACAAUACAUCCUAAACGACAGGUGGUUUUUUACACAUGCCAUUGUAUUGUCUCCCUAUCAUCGUAAAUUCGUUCCAGACGGCCCCGACAUUCAAGAAUACAAGGAAGAUUAUUGGUUCAGAGCUUUAUCCUGAAGGAAGCCUGAUAUAAGUGGUCGCACACAUGAGGGUGAGGGGGAAUCUUCAAGGUCUCAUCCUUCAUUCACAUGAAAAGGGUUGAGAAAGCUAGAGAGGCUACAUGGCUGGCAUGAAUAGAAAAUAGAUGUAUUCGGCAACUGGGGGAAUCUUCAAGGUCAAUCAUAUGCAAGUCAAUGAGCUAUAUAUGUUACUUUUCCAGAAGAAUUAAGAUAAUAUAUACCAGCCUCUACUGCAAAAUUAAACACAUUUUGAAUUGUAUGUUAUUUCCCCAUGAUUCUUUUAAGCAUAGUUAUCAAAAUUAAACACUUCUUGAAUUGUGUGCUAUUUCCUUAUCAUAAUUGGAAUUGAAAAUUUUGUCUCAACUCUCAAUCAUUGCAUUAUCAACAAUGUCCAUCGUGUCUACGGACUCAAAAUCUCAAAUCCUUGAUAGGAUUCUAUACUUUGUUUGGGUACUAUGUAAAAUUAGCAUGCUACACCUUAAUAUACUAAGACUCUGAUUCAGAGUUGUGUGAGGUAACUAAGUAGGGAGUCCUUUGGCUCCGCAGUCGGGCUGGGACCCGGUAUUUCAGAUAAUUGGUGAACGAACUGAGACCAGGAGGUCUCGUUAGAUUUUGGAGAGCAGCCAUGUGGUAGCAUACUGCUUCAAGCAGUUCAGUGUUUCAGGCAGUUACGUGUUUUAGGCAGUUCAGUAUUUCAUGCGGUUCCGUGUUUCAGGCAGUUCAGUGUUCAGGCAGUAAGUGUUUUAGGCAAUUCAGUGUUUCAUAAAUUUCAAUGCUUCGGACAGUCAGUGUCUCAAGCGGUAAUGGUAACUGAGGAUCUCAUGUAUGGUAAGUGUAAUAGAUUGCUGAGUAAUGCUAAGUUACCCACCGCGGGGUUCAUCUAUAAUGAUUCAGUAUGAGUGGUCUAUUAAGGAUUCAGAUCAUCUAGAGACAGCAAAUUUCAGACAGAGUACAUGUAAUCUUGUUGCGAGGUAUUUGUUCACCUUAGGAAUUUAGGGCUUUACGAAGAUUGUCACGACUACCCUAGGAAGCCUAGGGUGUGCUCAGGAUAGUGACCAUGUUACUUGAGUGGUUCGGCGCAUAAGAGAUGGUAAGGAAUGAUUUCGAGGACAAAAUCUAAUUUAAGUGGGGGAGAGUUGUAACACCCUGUUUAUUUAUUAGAUAAAAAAUUAAUUAAUGAAUGAAUACUAGCCCUAAAAUAAAUAAUUAUAUUUCAAAAGUUGAUCUUGAGGAGCUAAUUGUCACCCUUUAAGAGAUUGGGGGUUAAAAGUGUAAGUUCCAGAUUAGUUUUUUAAGUAUUUAAGAAGGCAGGGGCUAAAUGGUAAGUAUUAUACUCGAUUUGUAAAGAAUUUUAAGGCUGAGGGUUAAAAAGGUAUAUUGGGGAUUUAUGUUGAAAGAAAAGGAGGGUGGAGGGGCUUAUCUUGCCAUUAUGGAAAACUUAUGUAUGGAGGCGGGUAUUUAAGGGUUCAAACCCUAAACCUAGUGCAAGAAACUACAUCUGCCAUCUCCUUUUUCAUUCUGGUAGCCGCUGCUACCAUUGGAGCCUCCUCAGCCACCAUUUGCGUCACCAAGCCCGACAACCCAGUCCCGCCUACUGUAUAUGAGGAUGAUGGAGAGAAGAAGGAAGAAGAAGAAGAUGCAUUGGGUUAUUACAAGUCAUGGAAUCACAUAAUUGGUGGAGAUCUCUCUCCUUUUCAGACAACUACAGGACAAUACAUCCUAAACAAUAUGCAGUUUUUUACACAUGCCAUUGAUUUGUCUCCCUACCAUCGUAAAUUCGUUCCAGACGGCCCCGACAUUCAAGUAGAAAAGGAAAGGUUUUGGUUGAGAGCUUUAUCCCUAAGGAAGCCUGACAUAAGUGGUCGUGCACAUAAGGGUGAGGGGGAAUCUUCAAGGUCUCAUCCUUCAGAUGAAAAGGAUUGAGAAAGAGAGGCUACAUGGCUGGCAUGAAUAGAAAAUAGAUGGGUAGCCUGAUGCUAUUGCAAAUUCAUUAUAUCCUACUUUUCUAGAAGAAUUAAGAUAAUAUAUUCCAGCCUCUACUGCAAAAUUAAACACAUUUGUAUUUGUAUGUUAUUUCCCCAUGAUUCUUUUAAGCAUAGUUAUCAAAAUUAAACACUUCUCGAUUUGUGUGCUAUUUCCUGAUCAUUAUUUGAACUGAAAUCUUAGUCUCAGUUAUUGCCUUAUCAACAA